rnacentral:rRNA from 1 species
GACGAACGCUGGCGGCGUGCUUAACACAUGCAAGUCGAACGGAAAGGCCCUGCUUUUGUGGGGUGCUCGAGUGGCGAACGGGUGAGUAACACGUGAGUAACCUGCCCUUGACUUUGGGAUAACUUCAGGAAACUGGGGCUAAUACCGGAUAGGAGCUCCUGCUGCAUGGUGGGGGUUGGAAAGUUUCGGCGGUUGGGGAUGGACUCGCGGCUUAUCAGCUUGUUGGUGGGGUAGUGGCUUACCAAGGCUUUGACGGGUAGCCGGCCUGAGAGGGUGACCGGCCACAUUGGGACUGAGAUACGGCCCAGACUCCUACGGGAGGCAGCAGUGGGGAAUAGUGCACAAUGGGCGGAAGCCUGAUGCAGCAACGCCGCGUGCGGGAUGACGGCCUUCGGGUUGUAAACCGUUUUCGCCUGUGACGAAGCGUGAGUGACGGUAAUGGGUAAAGAAGCACCGGCUAACUACGUG